UACAGAGGUCUCAAGCGUUGUUCGGAUUCAUUGGGCGUAAAGGGUGCGUAGGCGGCGCGGUAAGUCGGGUGUGAAAUCUUGGAGCUUAACUCCAGAACUGCCUUUGAUACUGAGAAGCUUGAGUCCGGGAGAGGUGAGUGGAACUGCGAGUGUAGAGGUGAAAUUCGUAGAUAUUCGGAGGAACACCAGUGGCGAAGGCGGCUCACUGGUCCAUUACUGACGCUGAGGUGCGAAAGCGUGGGGAGCAAACAGG
rnacentral:rRNA from 1 species